UUAACUAUUAUAUAGUACUCAGACGACACUAAUAUUCAGAGUUUGGGGUCCUCUGGCGGGCGCUUACCAGCCGGAGCCGGUAGCCUGACCGAGGCCGAGACGGCCCGCCAAAGCAACAAAGGUAAUGAUAACAUAGGGUGGGAAUUCUACCCGUUUAAGGGGAACUCGUUAAUGAUCCCUCCGCAGGUUCACCUACGGAGA
rnacentral:misc_RNA from 1 species